AAAUCGUCACUUCCUUAUUCUUUUAAAUCCCCUAUAUCAUGUGCACAGCAAUAAUAACAGGCAAAGACCUAAUAAAUUGUCAGCUACCUGCACUGCGUUAAGCAAGGAUGACUAGCUUUUGCUUCUUCUUUUCUUGUAACGAACUCUCAGAUUCGUAGCAAAGUUGCGAAUUUUAAUUAGAGUAGAAAAUACAAUUUCCAGAUGUCUUCGAUGGGAAUUGAAACCAGGAGUCCGGCGUGGCAAAUGGAGACUAUACCACUAGGCUAUAAGGUAAUGAAUUUUGGAAAUGAAAUAUUAUUAUAUAUUUUCAGCCAAUACUCUUUUAGGAUAUGAUCUACUUCCGGUAAUAGUUCGAUCAGGAUAUGCGACCAUGGUAUAGUGGUUAUAGCAUCUAGCGUUGUAUCCAAAUGUCCCGUGUUCGAUUCCCACUUCCGCCACAUUGUCCUCCAUUGUUGUUCCCCAUAUCGCUCUGUAUAAUAUAACCAUGCAUGUACUAACCCUUACUAAAACCAACUACUAAACCACUACUACUAACUACUGUUAAACUAACCAUGCAUGUA